AUACGUAGGGGGCGAGCGUUGUCCGGAAUGAUUGGGCGUAAAGGGCGCGUAGGCGGCGCGGUAAGUCUGGAGUGAAAGUCCUGCUUUCAAGGUGGGAAUUGCUUUGGAUACUGCCGCGCUUGAGUGCAGGAGAGGUUAUCGGAAUUCCCGGUGUAGCGGUGAAAUGCGUAGAGAUCGGGAGGAACACCAGUGGCGAAGGCGGGUAACUGGACUGCAACUGACGCUAAGGCGCGAAAGUGUGGGGAGCAAACAGGAUUAGAUACCCUGGUAGUCCACACUGUAAACGAUGAAUGCUAGGUGUAAGAGGUAUCGACCCCUUUUGUGCCGGAGUCAACACAAUAAGCAUUCCGCCUGGGGAGUACGGCCGCAAGGUUGAAACUCAAAGGAAUUGACGGGG
rnacentral:rRNA from 1 species